CUUUCCCUCUUUCUUCCUGCCUUCCCCCUGCACGUCGACCGGUAACAGGUCUUCGGAUGCUGACGAGUGGCGAACGGGUGAGUAAUACAUCGGAACGUGCCCGAUCGUGGGGGAUAACGGAGCGAAAGCUUUGCUAAUACCGCAUACGAUCUACGGAUGAAAGCAGGGGACCGCAAGGCCUUGCGCGGACGGAGCGGCCGAUGGCAGAUUAGGUAGUUGGUGGGAUAAAAGCUUACCAAGCCGACGAUCUGUAGCUGGUCUGAGAGGACGACCAGCCACACUGGGACUGAGACACGGCCCAGACUCCUACGGGAGGCAGCAGUGGGGAAUUUUGGACAAUGGGCGAAAGCCUGAUCCAGCCAUGCCGCGUGCAGGAUGAAGGCCUUCGGGUUGUAAACUGCUUUGGUACGGAACGAAAAGACUCUUUCUAAUAAAGAGGGUCCAUGACGGUACCGUAAGAAUAAGCACCGGCUAACUACGUG
rnacentral:rRNA from 1 species